rnacentral:rRNA from 1 species
GUCCACACCGUAAACGUUGGGCGCUAGGUGUGGGAUCCUUAUCCCGGGUUCCGUGCCGCAGCUAACGCAUUAAGCGCCCCGCCUGGGGAGUACGGCCGCAAGGCUAAAACUCAAAGGAAUUGACGGGGGCCCGCACAAGCGGCGGAGCAUGCGGAUUAAUUCGAUGCAACGCGAAGAACCUUACCUGGGUUUGACAUGGAGAGUUAACCAUCAGAGAUGGUGGGUCCGUAAGGGUUCUCUGCAGGUGGUGCAUGGCUGUCGU